UAAUACAUUUCUUGAUUUAUUCUAAAACUGAUUUAUUUACUUUCUUUUCUCAAUCUGUAAUAUUGAUUUUGUGUAUAUAUAUAAGUGUUUUUGAUAAAAAACACUUUGACUCACUUUUCCCAGAUGUUGUCCUUAUUAUUCCACAGUGUUAACUUUUUUCUUUCCCCCUUUGGCCACAGUGCUUUUGACAGAUGAUGUCACCUCUGCGAUCAAUUGUGCCAAACGUAUCGUUAGGCAACAAGGCAUCACAGCCUGGGUUGCCUGGCGCACUCGCUGUCAGGGCCAGGAUCUCAGGCCCUAUUUGUCCGGAUGUCGUCUUUAAUCAACACAUAAACAGAAGGGUGUCAUCGACAUAGUAAAUUUUCUCCAUCCUUCUCUGUUUCUACUUUGAAAGGAAAACAUAUUGGGUGACCCAAAUGAUUAAAAGCAGUUAAAAUCUCUA